CGUAGGUGUGCGUCAUUGAGGCGGGCCGUUACGUCAUCAGCGCGCCGCCGCUUGUUUGUUCGAGUGGAUUGUUUACAUCUGUGUUGGUAGGGACUGCCGAAGCUGCUACCCACUAUUAUAAACGUCUAUUUGCCGUGUGAGGAACCGAGUGUAGACGAUUGAGACGGGGCAAUUUAGUCUCUGCUUAGCUGGUGCUGCGCUCUUUUAGGGGUGGGAUCACUAACUGCUUAACUUCCAGCGUUUCCGAUUGUGAGUAUCACUGACUGUUUGAGCAUUAAGCUAAGGGAGAAGAACGAGCAGCGUAACAUCUUGCUUUGUGUUUGUAGGCGCGAGAUGAAGGCAAUGGCUGCGUACUAAGUGCCGCGUUGCAGGCUGCAUAUUUCAUGCUGCAAAUUUCCUGCUUGGGGUGCAUACUCCAUACGCUGCGCUGCAUGCUUCAUGCUGCAUAUUCCAUGCUCUGUGCCUCAGCGGGCGCUGCUGUUUUGUUUCUACUGUUUUGUUUUCUAUGUGUGUGCUGAAACGCGACUGCGCGUUCUCUUUAAACAAGGCUGAAGUGGCUCUGUAAUGAAUGAGUGCUUGAAAGUUCUUUCUGUCUUAUUUUGUUUCAACAGGGUUUCCCUGUCAUGUUAAAGUCUUUCUUUUCUCUGGUUGAUAUAUUAAUCAUUUAACUUUAUUUGUAUUUUGGGGUUCUAACUCAUUUGAUCUGAAUCCAAUUGUUUAUUUAAUUUAUCUUCUUUCUUUUUACUUUUACUAUUAUUCAUAUUGUUUGGUUGUGAAGCCAAGGACAUUUCGUCUAAAGUUUUAGGUUUUGUCUAUUUGAUUUGUGCAGACUCAGAGACUGGACAUUGCAUUAUCCCAUACACAUACAUCUAUUUGAAGCUGUGUGAUGUUUUGUGACCUAUUUAACUUAGACUAGUAAGAAUCUUUAUUUUGUGCAAUUUGGUCUUUUGAGCUGCACUAUAAGUUUGUUUGUUAUUUCUUUACCAUUUUUCUCUGUAAACUUUCUCUGCUUGCCGCGCUCAUUUCUGACACAGCGCUUGCAUUCAGUGCAAUUAUUGUUUAUUUUAAUACCUCUCUUUGUUUUGGCAGGAUCUGGGCGCUGGGUGCAGAUGAGUGGCUCUAUUGUGGUGGUGGUGUGUCCUUCACCGUGUGUUGUGCUUCUCACUGACACCAGUCUGUGUGUGUGUGCUAUGUUCACCUGAUUGUAGUGAUUUAAAUUUGGCAUAUGAGACUGCCCCAGUUGGUAAGCCCCAGCUCCUCGCCCACAAAAGAAGUGUUUUAUGAUGAGUGGCCAUACUUUUAAUAUUUGUACAUCUCAAUAAAAAUAUUUUUGUACCAUUUACUUCUGUCUCCGACUCCUGGCGAUUCGAACCUGUGUGUGCCUCUAGGGGGCACUGUUUGUUCUUUGGUUAAAAUCCCAAAGUUGCGUAGUCGGAAAUAAAUUUCAUAUUGACUGUUACAACAGUCGUUUAAUUGAGUGUGUGUGCAUUUUGUGCACCCCGCUAAGGACCCCUCCUGCCACACUACUAUGCAAUCUGACCAUGGCCUACUGUCUUGGACUUUUUGUUCUGGGGCACAUUUAUAACCUUCUUCCAUACUGUAAUAUGCCCUAAGCAGAAGUGAGAAGUUGAGAGAAGUCUUAGCCAAAAAUGGCUGCUAGCCUCCCCUUUCACUCUAUUCACAGAGGCUGUACACACAAGCCCUGAGCUUUAGCUGCUAUAUUGAAAGCGUUCCCAGAAGCUGGCUCUGAUCGCUCUGUUGAUGCCCAGUGGAACCAGCUCAGACCGCUUUCACAACUCCAUGCCAUACCAGAACAUGCAAACCUCAGACGCACUUAUAUUUAAACAGCUUAGCCCCACUUCUAAAUCUCCCAAUGAACCAAAUGCCAUUAUAUCUAAGAGCAGACACAUUGAGGCCUCUUCAAAGACAAAUUAGUGCAAAUUGGGCUCAGGAUCAUGUUGUUGAUUUUUUAGGUUGUACUGUAUGUGUUUAGAGACGUUGAACAGAGACACAAAUGUUGUUCUUGCAUUAACACAAGAACUAAGGUUUAAGCACUUUUAUGAUAGCCCACUUUAGAAAGCACAUCAUGGAAAGCCAACAUGAUAAUGGUGGUUUUCAUGAAUUUACACAUGGGAAAACGCAAGCCAUAUGCCACGUGGACUUUUUCUGACACUCUUGUGCGUAGUAAUAGUAAUAUGAAACGUUUAGAAGGGGGUGCUAAGCCAAAGUUGGCUGAC